GAGAUGUUCUUAUAGUGAAAGUGUCUCUCCUUAUGUAAGAUUCUUUACUGAUAAGCCUUUUUACAAAAAGAAUUAGCCUUUCUUGGCGUAUAUUUUUUGUUUUGUUUUGCUUAGGAUGCUGUAGUACAACCUUCUUUGGUGAUAGUCUACUUCGGUGGGAAUGAUUCAAAGGCUCCUCAUCCAUCAGGCCAUGGACCUCAUGUUCCUCUAUCUGAAUUCAUUGAAAACAUGAGGAAGAUUGGGGAGCAUCUUUUGGUAAUUAUGCCCUUUUCAAAGUUGGAGACAUUUUUCUUUAUGUGUUGCUUACUCAUGGUGUCUUCUUUUUUAACAGAGCCUUUCGGAUAAGACCCGUGUCAUUUUUCUCUCUCCCCCACCAAUGAAUGAGACACAAAUCCAAUUAGUUUUUGGGUACAUAUAUCUUUGAGUCUGCUUAAUCUUCCUAUUAAUUAGUAUUAGAAGCUUGAUCAAUAUCACUUUGUAACAUUGGUAGAAAUGCAAUAAAAGGACGGAGUAACGAAGUUUGCCGUCCAUAUGCAGAAGCGUUGUUGAAUCUAUGCAAUGAGAUUAAUGUAAAAAGUGUUGAUAAUAUUUAUAUAUUUUACGUAUUAAUAAUAUAUAUACAAGAUAUAUUUGAAUAUUUAAGUAAAAUAUAAUUAUAAAGAUAAAAAUGAUAAGAAAAUCAAUAUUAGUAGAACCAUAUGUAAGUUCAGUAAUUAUAACGAGUGAAAUGAAAAGUAAAUAGUGUGGACUUUUAAGGUUUAGUGGAGAUGUUCUUAUAGUGAAAGUGUCUCUCCUUAUGUAAGAUUCUUUACUGAUAAGCCUUUUUACAAAAAGAAUUAGCCUUUCUUGGCGUAUAUUUUUCGUUUUGUUUUGCUUAGGAUGCUGUAGUACAACCUUCUUUGGUGAUAGUCUACUUCGGUGGGAAUGAUUCAAAGGCUCCUCAUCCAUCAGGCCAUGGACCUCAUGUUCCUCUAUCUGAAUUCAUUGAAAACAUGAGGAAGAUUGGGGAGCA
rnacentral:lncRNA from 1 species